rnacentral:sRNA from 1 species
AAACGCUCCCCCCGCGCGGCGGACACAGCUCCAGGCUGGUACCGCGCGCACACGGACGCCUCGCAGGACCUGGGCUAAUAAGGAGAGGAGAUCGGCACGGUAUAGCUGUGGACCAACUGUAUAUGAUCAUGCGCACCUUGGCCAUGCUUGCUCAUAUGUUAGAUUUGAUAUCAUUCGAAGGAUCCUAACCAAGGUUUUUGGAUGCAACAUAGUCAUGGUGAUGGGUAUUACAGAUGUAGAUGAUAAAAUCAUCAAAAGAGCCAAUGAGGCAUGAGUCAAAGGAAUGGUGUGAGGUCCUUGAACAUUUUCACUGAGAUGAAUAUUUCCCCCGCUUCCCUCGCCAGUCUUUAUGAGGAAGACUUCAAGCAGGACAUGGCAGCCCUGAAGGUUCUCCCACCCACGGUGUACCUGAGGGUAACCGAAAAUAUUCCUCAGAUAAUUUCUUUCAUUGAAGGAAUCAUUGCUCGUGGGAACGCUUAUUCAACGGCAAAAGGCAAUGUCUACUUCGAUCUGAAGUCUAGAGGAGACAAGUAUGGCAAAUUGGUCGGCGUGGUCCCUGGUCCAGUCGGAGAGCCAGUGGACUCUGACAAGCGUCAUGCCAAUGACUUCGCCCUGUGGAAGGCGGCCAAACCCCAGGAGGUGUUCUGGGCCUCUCCCUGGGGACCCGGGAGGCCGGGCUGGCACAUCGAGUGCUCUGCCAUCGCUAGUAUGGUAUUUGGAAAUCAACUGGAUAUCCAUUCAGGUG